GAUGAAGAACGUAGCGAAAUGCGAUAAGUAAUGUGAAUUGCAGAAUUCAGCGAAUCAUCGAAUCUUUGAACGCACAUUGCGCCCCCUGGUAUUCCGGGGGGCAUGCCUGUCCGAGCGUCAUUACAACCCUCAAGCUCAGCUUGGUAUUGGGCCCCGCCGACCCGGCGGGCCCUAAAGUCAGUGGCGGUGCCGUCCGGCUCCGAGCGUAGUAAUUCUUCUCGCUCUGGAGGUCCGGUCGUGUGCUCGCCAGCAACCCCCAAUUUUUUUCAGGUUGACCUCGGAUCAGGUAGGGAUACCCGCUGAACUUAAGCAUAUCAAUAAGCGGAGGA
rnacentral:misc_RNA from 1 species